CACGUAGGGCGCAAGCGUUGUCCGGAAUUAUUGGGCGUAAAGAGCUCGUAGGCGGUCUGUUACGUCUGCUGUGAAAACCCGGGGCUUAACCCCGGGCUUGCAGUGGAUACGGGCAGGCUAGAGGCAGGUAGGGGAGAAUGGAAUUCCCGGUGUAGCGGUGAAAUGCGCAGAUAUCGGGAGGAACACCGGUGGCGAAGGCGGUUCUCUGGGCCUGACCUGACGCUGAGGAGCGAAAGCGUGGGGAGCGAACAGG
rnacentral:rRNA from 1 species